UACGUAGGUGGCAAGCGUUGUCCGGAUUUACUGGGCGUAAAGAGCGCGCAGGCGGUCGAAUAAGUCGAAUGUGAAAGCCCCCGGCUCAACUGGGGAGGGUCAUUCGAUACUGUUCGACUUGAAGGCAGGAGAGGGAAGCAGAAUUCCCGGUGUAGUGGUGAAAUGCGUAGAUAUCGGGAGGAAUACCAGUGGCGAAGGCGGCUUCCUGGCCUGUUCUUGACGCUGAGGCGCGAAAGCUGGGGGAGCAAACGGG
rnacentral:rRNA from 1 species